UGGGCCAUUAAUGAUUAUGUGUCAUGAACUAACGAUUAUGAUUAAUUCAAUUCUAUGUACCCAAGUUCCGAA
rnacentral:snoRNA from 14 species